AUCAUACCUACACCAAAUUAAAUGAACAAGUGAAUAAAUACUCAAAUAGUUACUUUAAUAAACAAAUAAAAUUAAAAAAAAAAAAGAGAGAGGGGGUAGAUCCAGAGAAUCGUUUUUUUUUUCAACACAACAUUAAUUGAUGCAUUUAAUUAGAGUAGACAAAUCUUUUCCCCUCCUCUGACAAAAGAGAUUUGAGAUAGGAAUGUGGCACGCAACUUGCCACAACCAACUUGCUACCCACGCCACUUUCACCGCCAUCUUUUAUACAUAUACACAAUUGUUUUCUUCACCCCCACAUCACCAUCACACCAUCUAUUCUCCCUGCACACACCAACCCCACAAAACAUAGAGGAGUCCGAGGAGGGAGAUUUCUACAAUCCAACAACACUUUACUUCCCCAUCAAAAGUCUCCGUCGUUUGUUCCUUAUUCGCCGCUUCUCCAGCCGCGAUAAUCACCAUGGUCCAGGGACGAUGCCGUCGUGGCCAAGCUCCAUCGCGCCUCUGCCUGCUCGCGAAACUCUGCCAACACCGCCGUUCUCCUUCUCUCCCGCAUGCAGUGCCGCCAUGAAUCACAGCGGCUGUUGCCGAAAGCCCGUCGCCACAGCCGGGGUCGCCGCCGCUGCACUCUCGGAGUUUCAUCAGCCCGCGACUGUCGUUCGUGCGAGCUAAGUCGCCGUCGCUGCUGUUCGAGACUCGUCGAGCAGCCGCGCGGUGCUUUCGCCGUCCCGUCUCUCUCCUCCUUCGCUGAUUGUCGCCGGCAAAACAUAGCACCACCGCCGCCGAUGUCGCGGAACCGCUGCACGACUGCUGUCCUUCUCGCAGCUACUGUCGUCCCUUCUCGCCGUACCCUCCAUGCUCGUCUCUGUCUCCCUCUCCGUCUCGCCCAGAUUUUGAAUGAAAGUGAUGGUUGAAAAAACUGUGUAUCACGUGUGAACGUGGGAUGAUGAUAUAUAUAUAGAUUGUUGCUAGGGUUUUGCUAAAA